GAUGGGUGGCUGAGCGGUUGAAAGCACUGGUCUUGAAAACCAGCGAGGGUUCACGCCCUCCGUGGGUUCGAAUCCCACCCCAUC
rnacentral:tRNA from 1 species